UACGGAGGGGGCUAGCGUUAUUCGGAAUUACUGGGCGUAAAGCGCGCGCAGGUGGCGCAAUAAGUGGCUGGUGAAAGCCCUCGGCUCAACCGAGGAACUGCCUGCCAAACUGCUGCGCUUGAGGCCGGGAGGGGGAAGCGGAAUUCCUGGUGUAGCGGUGAUAUGCGUAGAUACCAGGAGGAACACCGGUGGCGAAGGCGGCUUCCUGGACCGGCUCUGACACUCAUGCGCGAAAGCGUGGGGAGCAAACAGG
rnacentral:rRNA from 1 species